UCUGACCAGGUUUGUCACUGUAUGCAGCAGUUCCCGAAGUGUGUGGCAGGUGGGUGGUACACAGGGUUACAGCAAGGGGGCGCAGAUUGAGGGUGAAAAAACAGAAACCUAAACAACCAAAUAUAUAAAUAGAAAAUUAAAAAUGUUACUCAUCACCUACAAAGCCCUAAAUAACUUGGCCCCUCCCUACCCCUCAGACCUCCUCCCCCGCCACGCCCCAACACGUUGCCUCAGGUCCGCCGGCGCAAACACUCAAGACCAUCAGGACCAAGCUCCAGACCUGGGGUGACACGGCCUUUUCAGUUGCUGCACCCUCCCUCUGGAACGCCAUCCACAUCCCCCAGGCUCCCACCCUACCAUCGUUCAAACAAGCCCUCUUCAAAUUCGCCUUCACCUGCUAACCCCUGUUCCCUUUCUCUCCCUAUCCUCCAUUCCAUGACUUGUUCCGCACUGCUUCUCUAGGUUUUUUUUUUUUUUUUUUACUAAAAUGUUCUGUUUGCUCUUUUUGUGUUUUGUUCUGCCCUAUAUACAGAGUCUUUGGGUACUUAGAAAAGCGCUAUACAAGUCUAAGGGAUCAUUAUUAUGCUAUAUUUACAUUUAUUUACUAAGUUUUGAGAAAUAUGCAUGUAUUUAUGAAAUGUAUGAGUAUUAGUUGAAGGCAAGAUUAUGUUUAAAUAAGUAUCAAAUGUAUGCAUAUAAGUUUAUAUGAUGGUGUAUACCUCUGUCUUGUUAUACACUAUGUUACGACCGGCUCAUGAGGUCGCAACAUAAAAAGGAGGAGGCAGACAACAAGGUGAAUGGUUACAAAAAAUGUGUUUAUUUGGUCAAAAGGAAGAUCCAACAAAAAAGUCUAGGGGAUUCAAAGAUGUGUGGAUGCGUGAAGCGAGUAUGUUUGUGAGUAGGGAUGAUUGCAAAAAGUGUGUCCAAAAGUAAAUGAGAGGAGCGGAAGCUGAAAGGGGCCGCUCUCAAGACCUUGCAGUGCUUUUAUACUCACUCCUGGCGGCAGGUGUGGG
ensembl:lncRNA